rnacentral:rRNA from 1 species
UACGUAGGGGGCCAGCGUUUGUCCGGAAUCAUUGGGCGUAAAGAGCGCGUAGGCGGCUAGAUAAGUCCGGUGUGAAAGUCACAGGCUCAACCUGUGAAUGCCGCUGGAAACUGUCUGGCUAGAGUCCGGAAGGGGCGAGUGGAAUUCCUGGUGUAGCGGUGAAAUGCGCAGAUAUCAGGAGGAACACCAAUGGCGAAGGCAGCUCACUGGCCCGGUACUGACGCUGAGGUGCGAAAGCGUGGGGAGCAAACAGG